ensembl:lncRNA
UGCGGGUUACUCUUCAGAAGCCUCCAUCGCGGCUGGUCGUAGCUGUAGAAGCCUCUGAGCCAUUCUGCUCACGUUUUAUGACACGGCUUACUCGAUGCGGAGUGCCGACGUGGAGGAGACUAGGGUGCCUUGGUGGUGGGACCCUUUGCAUGUACACACCUGCCUUGUUUGGUUUAUUAGUAUGGAGCAGAGAAGAAGAAAAAGCAGCUCAGGAGUCAUCAGCCCCUCACCCCACACUUAAAGCCAGCUUGAGUAGAUAUUCUGUAAAAAGAGCUGUGUGAUAAAACCAAUGAUACUUCUGAGGCAGUUUCCAGCUCAGUCUCAGAGGAGAAACAAGAUUUUGCUGUCCCAAGAAGCCAGGAUGGUAACAUCACUGCCACUCUGCACGAUCCCAGCACUGCUCCAGAGAAACCUAAAGGAAAGGCCUGGGUGGUGUUCACAGAGAGACAGUUGAAUAUUCUUGUCCAUCAGUUUAAUUUGAAACAUUACUGUGACCCAAGAGAGAUGAAACAGCUGGCAGAGAUGACAGGACUGACUUAUAAACAGGUAAAAACUUGGUUUCAAAACAGACGGAGUAAGUUUAGGAGGAGGUCACAUCCUCAGCAUGUGAAUCAGGGCGUCCCACUUCAUUUUCAGGGAGAGGGACAGCCCCCACUCAGGCAGGAGUACACCCAGCACCUGGAUGUAAACUUAAUCACAAAUGGUGCAAAUUAUCAGGGCCCCUAUCCUCAUCUUGUGGAUAAUUUUGUGGCUGGACCUCAAUGGACCUUCCCCACCUCACCACAGACGCUUGGCUGGUCGAUGCCACCAGGCAACCGCAAUUAUGAAUUCAACCCCGGUGUAUGAAUGCACAACACAACAACUCCGGGCUUCACAAUACAAGUUUUGAAGGAGCAAGUGGAGAGCCUUGCCAGCAGCUAAUGAUCCUUUAACUACAAAUAUUGUCAUUUAUAUCAGCAUUCUUUGUAUUACAUUUUAAUCUUCUUUUUUUCAUGUAGCUCAACAUAACAGUCUCUUUCAGUAAAUGAAAGGAACAUGGUGAAUUUUCGGCCCUUUAUUUUUAAUCAUCGGACUAAAAAAAAAAUUGAAUUCAGUCGACUUUGGCUAUUGUAAAUACAUUUUAGUCUAUCCAAAAAUAUUAAGAGAUGAAGUCAUGAAAAUUUGUUUUGUUUCAGUUGUAUCUUCCAGUAUUUGUAAAAAAAUAAUGGACAUGAAGGAUAUUAUCUGCCUUGUGUAUGAGAAACUGUAAAUACAAUAUUAGUUUCACCAAUUCAAAA